GAAUACGAAAAAAAAAGAAAAUGCUUCCCCAUAACACACGUAAAUCACCGAACAGCCAUUUCAGAGUCACAACGAGUCUAAUUCACAGGCAAGAGGAAGGGAGGAAGACGAGGCUCCAGCAAAUAGAGGAGGAGCGGUGGGUUGACGCCAGAAGGGAGAGAGGAGAGCUCCGCCACGGUGGGCGUACGGGACAAGCUGAAGAAAAAGCUCAAGAGACAUACAAAGAGGUUAAAACCAAGGAGCAACAAGAGGAAAGAGAAUAAGAAUAAGAAGAGGAAAUAAAAGUAGAAAGGAAAGAGGAAAUAAAAAAUAGAAACGGAAGAUCACAGAGGAAAGAGAAGAAGAAAAUCCAAAAGGAGGAAAGCGAGGACGAAGAAAGAGAAGAACCAAAAAGGCCACAAAAGCUCAGUGUUCCACAAUCAGCAACGCACAAACGACCUUGGUGUGAGACCGGCCCCGAAAGCAGUGUUUCGCGGCGCCCCCCCCCCCCCUUCCUCCUCCUCCUCCUCCCCUGCCCAGCGAGGCAUGGAGCCCUUCACGGCGGGCAUCCUGGCGGUCGGGGGCAUGAUCGCCGUGAUGCUGGCGGUCGUGGCUGCCCAGGAGAGCAACAGCAUCAACAACAGGAAGAGCAAGAGCAAGAGCAAGGCCCCGCCAAGCCCGCGGACGGAGCUGAAGUCGUCCGAGGAAAAGAGAUACUGAAUUCGAUACUUUUUUCACCCUGUUUUUCCUCUUUCCUUUUUUUCUAAUUUUCUUUUUUAAAGUUUGAGAUGAUGUAUUUGAGAAUUGUCUUUUUUAAAAUCAAAAUGAUUUUUAGGUGGCAUUUUAGGCAUUUUCAUGUACUUGUCAGUUUGUGAAUUUUGUUUUUUUUUCUUGAUUUUUUUAAAGCACCGUGAAUAUAUAUAUUUGUUUUAGUUGCUAUUAAUUUUAAUGAACUUGUAAUAACCA